UUCUAGGACGUUGUCUGGGGAUUGAACUCCUUGUUUACUGACCUGUUGAACUUUGAUGACCCGUUGAACAUUGAUGCAGCAGAACAUCAUCUGAGGGACAAGGAGGAUUUCCGGAAUAAGGUUCAAGAUUACAUCAAGAACUAUGCCAGAUGAUAGAAGCACCAACAUUAGCCUGCAACAAUCAACCAAACUACUCUACCUUGCCUCUGCUUAUCUUGGCCAACUUCCCGAUGUGUGUGAACCAACAGCUGACUCUGUGACACUUCUGACUCCCCUCCUCACACCACGCCCGCCUACGCCCGUCUCCAUUCAACCAAUUGCAAUAAUCACCAUCUAGCAGGAACAAAAAUAAAGAAAAAAAGAUGCGUGGCAAAGAAAAGACUUGCAUAGAAAGAGUUUAGUGUCACAAUGACCACAAUAACUUCAUUGUGGCAAGAUCGCCAGUCGGAAAUGAGCCAUGGCAACAAAUGGGACUUGAUGUGAAGAUUCACUAGCGCAAAAAAAACCCUUACAUGCUAUUUUAAAAUUUAAUGAAUCAUGAGAAAGUAAAUGCUACUAUCAGUUCUCUGUUCCAGUGCCUGCCAUGUUUGUGUUGCUAAAGAGACAAUGCAUGCGAGUUCACACACACACACACACACACAGUGAAUAUAUGUACAUGCAUUUCUUGUCUGUUACAUACACACACUCAAGUUUAACAGCCUUUAACCCCUGCCCCACUAGACAGCAUGUGAAUGACCACAUUGUCCCAUUAAGUUGUUAUUCUUGCAUGUACACACACACACGAUUCUUUCAGCUCCAGUGGGAUAAAGUACUACUACUUAAACCACAGCCAAGUGUAUUGUACAAUUUUUAGCUAAAAAUCAUUUUCUGCACCCCUAUUUUACUGUUUUUUGUCUUUCCUCCAUCCCUCCCUCCGUAUUUCUGUUUCACAAACACACAAAUACCCAUUGAGGUUUGUUCAUACUUGCAGUGCAAUCAUUGACAGUGACAUUUUUUUCACAUGAUAGCUCUGUACCCAAGCACUUUGGGUGUUAACUGACUGGGUUUAAAGUACUGAUUUAGAUUUAAAUGUUUGCUUGGCUAUUGGUAGGCAGCCAACGUUGGCAACAGCCGUUUUCUUACCAGUCUAGCACAAACGCUCCAAGUUCACCUUUCAUUUGGCAAUGGAAAUGCUUACUUUUGUUUUGUUCCUAUUUCUAUCACUUCUUUCCUUCUACCAAAGUUGCUCAGCCAGCCCCGACCCAACCUAUUGCAAAGUGUCACAGGCUGUCAUGUCACUUUGCAUUACAGAGGCACUGUAGCAUCCAGUGUGUCCUGAAGUAGUAGCUCUGCUCAGAGGGUACAUUAUAACCUUUUGUCUUGUAAACAUAACAUUUACUGAAGCUCUUGGCAAGCGACCAUCACCACCACCCACUCCUGGCAAGAAACAACAUCGCUGGCAGAGAAAACUUAAUAACAGCACUUUUAAUUUGACAUCUAUCAGAAAUUAACCGUAGUAGAACUGUAGCUCUGUUCGUGUAGAGUCCCCCAUGUUUCAUGGAGACAAUUUAAUUCUACAUGAGAACAUGAACUAAAAGCAGCUAUAAUCACUACUUUUACAACAAUAAUGUAUCACAUGAAAAUAAGAAAACAGAAGAAAGUAUCACCAGUAGAGUCUGCAGCUCUGGGAGCUUUUUAUCGAAUGUCACUUUCACCCCUCUCAUUGGAUUAGUGUCGACCUUUUACCUUCAGUCUGGUCUUCAACUGAAGCAAGCAUUAAACAUGUUUGGUCUUCAGGAUUGUCUCAGAUUUACAAGGGGAUUAUUUGUCCCUCAGUGCCAUUUAAUCAAGUCAAUAUUAAGAUAAACACCUAACUGAAAGUCAGCACUUUAACCUCAUGGUCAUUUCAGUGUCAUUGUACCGCAGUAUGGACCAAAACCAUUCACCGUCACCAGACUUUAUUACAGCACUGUGUGUGUGUGCGUGUGCAUGUUUCACUUGGCCCUGGCUAUAGCAUCGUGCCUCAGCUUUGAGUUGUACCUGUUAUUAUCGACUUGUCACUCCAUUCAGCUUUUGUCUUCACACGACUGCAUGAGGCAAAGUCUAUGUAAUCUGCCAGGGGUGCGUUUGGAUGUCAGAAACUAUAUGUUAAGGUUUGAAUUUUUCUGUUGGAGAUGUGUAAAGACUGAACAUUUGUGCUUGUUGAGUGUGUAUGUGUGAGCGUCAGUAUGACGUGUUGAAAAGAUGUGACUUGUUAGCAUGCUCUGGUUUCCUCUUGCUCCCUCUUUUCUUUCUGUUACUCCGGCCCUUUGUUCAACAGCUCAAAGGAUUUUGUUUUCAUCAUGAAAGUGAACAGAUCAACAGACAAUGCUGACCUCUGUCAAAAUAAAGCACCUGAUAGUUCUGUUGUAAGCGGAUGUUAACAUGGGCGUUCCAUGGCGGUUUCCCACAUGCUCCUGGUCCGCUCAAUCCUCAAAGGCUAAUGCUACAUGCCUAGUUAUUUGAAGCCAUCCUGUUUAAUUGCAGUGACAGCUAAUUGCCUCCAGGGCAUGGUAGCCCAACACAAUCUUUAUCAUAGCCUUACUAAUACUCUGACUUUAGCUUCCCUUGGACACCUGUCCUUUAGUUUGGCAGUCAGCGAUGUUGAUAUCUUCCCAGGAUGCUGCUGGGAAAUGUCUCUGCUUGGGCCAACUUCCUCUUUGGUCCAAAGGAGAAGAUUUACCACCGGUUCUUCUCCAAACCCUCAACCUUUUCUUUCUCAGAUUGUAUAUCCAUUUUUUUAAGAUAUAUUAAAGAGAAUAUGAAUAAAACAAUCUGGCUUGUUUUAUCAUGGGCUUCGUUGUUAAUUGUUACAAAUGUCAGCAUUAUAAGAACAAGUGUAAAGGUGUGAUUACUUGAGGACUGCAUCGAAUGAUUGUUUUAGUCUGUAAUGAAUAUGCACAUUUUUCU